rnacentral:rRNA from 1 species
GUGCCAGCAGCCGCGGUAAUACGUAGGGUGAGAGCGUUAAUCGGAAUUACUGGGCGUAAAGCGCGUGUAGGCUGCUCUGCAAGUCGGGUGUGAAAGCCCUGGGCUCAACCCAGGAAGUGCACUCGAAACUGCGAGGCUAGAGUACUGGAGGGGUUGGUGGAAUUCUCGGUGUAGAGGUGAAAUUCGUAGAUAUCGAGAGGAACACCGGUGGCGAAGGCGGCCAACUGGACAGAUACUGACGCUGAGACUCGAAAGCGUGGGGAGCAAACAGGAUUAGAUACUCCAGUAGUCC